rnacentral:rRNA from 1 species
GACCUGUAUGAAAGGCAAAAUGAGAGUCUAACUGUCUCUUAUAAUAAAUCAAUUAAACUGAUCUUCUAGUAAAAAAGCUAGAAUUCGACCAUAAGACCAGAAGACCCUGUGAAGCUUGAACUAAAAUAUUAAACCAUAUAAUAACUACUUUCGGUUGGGGCGACCUUGGAAAAAAAAARAACUUCCAAUAAUACGACCUACCUCGUACCACACCCUUAGGCUUACAAGCCAACUAAUGAUCCAGCAAAACUGAUAAUUGAACCAAGUUACUCCAGGGAUAACAGCGCAAUCCUCUUCAARAGCCCAUAUCAAAAARAGGGUUUACRACCUCGAUGUUGGAUCAGGACAUCCUAAUGGUGCARACGCUAUUAAGGGUUCGUUUGUUCAACGAUUAACAGUCCUACGUGAUCUGA